UACGUAGGGGGCAAGCGUUGUCCGGAAUUAUUGGGCGUAAAGAGCUCGUAGGCGGUCUGUCGCGUCUGCUGUGAAAACUCAGGGCUUAACCCUGAGCUUGCAGUGGGUACGGGCAGACUAGAGGUGCGGUAGGGGAGACUGGAAUUCCGUGGUGUAGCGGUGAAAUGCGCAGAGUAUCAAGGAGGAACACCGGCGGCGAAGGCGGCUUCCUGGCCCAU
rnacentral:rRNA from 1 species